rnacentral:rRNA from 1 species
UUGCGUAGGUGGCAGAGUAAGUGGAUAGUGAAAGCGUGUGGCUCAACCAUACAUCCAUUAUCUAAACUGCUCAGCUAGAGGACGAGAGAGGUAGAUGGAAUUUCUGAUGUAGGGGUAAUAUCCGUAGAUAUCAGAAGGAACACCGAUGGCGUAAGCAGUCUACUGGCUCGUUCCUGACACCAAGGCACGAAAGCGUGGGGAGCAAACA